rnacentral:rRNA from 1 species
UACAGAGGUCUCAAGCGUUGUUCGGAUUCAUUGGGCGUAAAGGGUGCGUAGGCGGCGCGGUAAGUCGGGUGUGAAAUUUCGAGGCUUAACUUCGAAACUGCAUUCGAUACUGCCGUGCUUGAGGACUGGAGAGGAGACUGGAAUUUACGGUGUAGCGGUGAAAUGCGUAGAUAUCGUAAGGAAGACCAGUGGCGAAGGCGGGUCUCUGGACAGUUCCUGACGCUGAGGCGCGAAAGCCAGGGGAGCGAACGGG